AGUGAACGCAGGCGGUAGGCCUAACACAUGCAAGUCGAACGGCAGCACAGGAGAGCUUGCUCUCUGGGUGGCGAGUGGCGGACGGGUGAGGAAUACAUCGGAAUCUACUCUGUCGUGGGGGAUAACGUAGGGAAACUUACGCUAAUACCGCAUACGACAUACGGGUGAAAGCAGGGGACCUUCGGGCCUUGCGCGAUUGAAUGAGCCGAUGUCGGAUUAGCUAGUUGGCGGGGUAAAGGCCCACCAAGGGGACGAUCCGUAGCUGGUCUGAGAGGAUGAUCAGCCACACUGGAACUGAGACACGGUCCAGACUCCUACGGGAGGCAGCAGUGGGGAAUAUUGGACAAUGGGCGCAAGCCUGAUCCAGCCAUACCGCGUGGGUGAAGAAGGCCUUCGGGUUGUAAAGCCCUUUUGUUGGGAAAGAAAUCCAGCUGGCUAAUACCCGGUUGGGAUGACGGUACCCAAAGAAUAAGCACCGGCUAACUUCGUGCCAGCCGCCGCCGUAA
rnacentral:rRNA from 1 species